ensembl:snoRNA
AACCAAAGUGUUGAGUCUAGUUCAGGGCUGCUUCCCUGUGCUGGUAAUUAAACUUUGGAACAGUAAGACACGGGCUGGGGGAGAUGAUUGGGUAGAAGGUAUUUCUCUAUUCAUUUCUCUCCCGGCCUACAAAA